UAAUUUCAUCUGCUGACAUUUCCUUUCAUCGAGGCUCUUGAGCCACUUUCCAUGCCAGUUCUAUUUUAGGAUGAAUGGAGCCUGAUCACCCUGCUAAGCAAAGUAUCCUGCAGAUGGCACAUUCAUUCUUCGUUCUUGUGGAUGGCAUGUUCUCACAUUCUGUAGUUUCUGUUUCCUGUGUUCCCUCUACUUGUGUUCUUCAAAUGUACUUCCUGAAAGUUUAGAAAGAAAAAUUCAUUGCAGUACCCCUCCUGAGUGCUACCUCCCCUGAUGCUGUAGAAAGAUACAAGGUCUUUCCUGUCUGUAAAAAACAGUGCUCUCCUGCCUGUGUUUUAAAUUGGGAAGAGGACAGCUGCCUAAAGAUGACAUCAUUCCUAAGUCCUCCAAGGAAAGUGGUAUGGAGAUUCAUCAAAGAGCUGGCAGUAACUGCUGAAUUCUCUGCUGUCCUACACAGAGAUUAAAAGCCCAUUAUUUCCUGGGAUUGUUUGUACACAGCUAAGUCGGAUGUGCAGUUGCCCUGUUAUGACUAAAUACAAAUGAAGGAACAGUAAAUUCACAAAAAUAUACCCACAGCUGUGCCACAUUCAGUCUUGCUCCCAUUUAAAGCAUGGAAGGGCAAAUUCUGUUCCUGGAUAUGCAGGUGUCCAGAUCCAGCUGAACUGUAGGUACAAGAACUGAGCAUCCCUGCAAUUAAGACAUCUGAGGCAGAGGACGUACACAAGACCACAAUUAACGUGUGACUGCAUGAGAUGACCACACGAUUUUCAGCCUUGCUGUUCACAUUCACAGGAUGUCCUUGGCAUGCAGUCAGCUCUUUUAAGGAUACUUCCUCCUUUCUUUGCUCUAUGCCAUAAACACUCUGAUCCGUCACCCUGCUUUUCACAAAGGAGCCUUCUCAUUGCUGCCCUUCAACAUUGCCAUUGGCCUUUCUCUGACUGUGUGCUACUGGUCAUGGCAUUGAAGAGGCGUGAAGAAGGGAGCAGGAGGCUCCAAGAAAGGAGCUGACCCUACUGCCCAGAAGGAAAGCAGUAUUGUUCUGCCCUGGUGCUAGCCAUUCUUGGCCUGCUUUGCCGGUAUCCCCUGUCCUUCCCAAUGAGGUGACUACAAGGAAUUUAGCUACAUGGAACAGGUGCCAUACAUCUGCUGGGAUUUCCUCCAAUUUAGUCAAAGAACAAGGGCAUUGCCUGUGAAGCAGGUGGACUGGCAGUGUGGAGAGUGCUGUAAGGAUCACUCAGCUCUUCAAAAUGCCUGUGGGGAGAGCAUGGAUUGCCACUGUUGAUACAAAUACAGGGAAGACCUUGACCUUGGUGGAUACUGCUCUUGCAAGGGGAGAUGCUCUGCAUUACAGAGAGAAUGAACUUUAAGCCUUCAGCCUUCCCAUUUGCUUUUCUGGGGAUAAAUUCAGACAGAGAAAAUGAAUGGAUAUGUUCCCAUUCCUGUGGAAAAUUUUGGAGGUACCUCACAUAAUUUAUAAUUGAUUUUCCACUAAACUGUUGAAGAAUCAUUUUUACUUCUGUUGCUAAAGUGCAGCACCAGCAAAAAAACCUAGAGAACAUCUUGGCAAUUCUUCAGAAAUUACCUCUACCUCAAAAACCGGAAAGUAUGAUAAUUUUUUAUUUGUUUUUAGGGCUUCUUGGGAGUUUUUUUGCAUUUGAAAAAGAAAAUAUUGUAAACGUGUGGAAUACAUUAGUUCCAUAAUGUAUUCCUCCUAUUCAGUAGGGUCAUAGUGCUGUAGUAUAUUUUAGCUGACCAUUUCAAAUGACACUUUAAGGUAAAUUUUAUAGUUUUUAGAUUUGAAAUUGAAUAAUUCCUUUUUAGAGUGCUUGGUUCUAAUCUGUGACUUAAAAGCCAUACUUGAGCAAGUGUCAAACCUGCACUUGGUUUGUUCUUUCCUAGAUUUCCAAGAUUCUGGAUAUUAGGAGUUUUAAAUAAUAAUUUCAUCAGUUUUAUUACCAUAUAAUGAGUCUCUCAGCCUUGAGUUGCUGCUGAAUUUUCUGCAGCAACAAAAAUGCUUAAUUAUCUGAAGAGCAAUUUAAAGAACUCAGAAAUUUCAUUUAGUGUGUGAGAACUUUGCCCAGAACUUGAGUGCAAUACAAAGAGCCAUUAGAACCAACCUUAAUUGAGAAGUUCACUAGAAAUCAAGGAGAAAUUUAUCCCUUCACCUGAAAUACAGUUUUAUCUGCACUGUUUUGGUGUCUUCUGUUUGAUACAGACAGAAGUGACAUGCACAUUUUUACCACUCAUUAUUGAAGUCAUGCUGCAGAGGAUGAAGUCUUCAGCUAAAGGUGAAGGUUCUUUCGGAUUAAAUACACAUUUUAUUGCUGAUGUCAGGGAGAUUAGCAUUUUGUCCUUAGUUUCCAUAAAAAUCAACCUGGAAUCAUUCCCUAUUUUCAUGGUUUAACCCCAGCUAGCAGCCAAGCCCCACCUACACCCUUGCUCACCCUCCCACCAGUGGAAUCAGGGAGAGAAUUGGGUGAAAGCUGGAAAACCCAUGGGUGGAGAUACAGACAGUUUAACAGGGAAAGCAAAAGCUGUGCACACAAGUAAAGAAUUAAGUCAUCUUUUCCAUGGGCAGGCAGGAGUUGAACCAUCUCCAGGAGAGCAGGGUCCCAUCACACGUGAUGGUGACUUGGGAGGACAAACACCACCACUCCAAACAUCCCCCCUUCCUCCCUCUUCCCUCCACUUUAUACACUGAGCAUGAUGUCAUACGGUCUGGAAUAUUCCUUUGGUCAGUUUGGGUCACCUGCUCUGGCUCUGUCUGCUCCCAGCCUCCUGUGCACCCCCCAGUUCCUCACCAGCCUCAUGAAAAGGAGCAAAGGCUUUGGCUCUGCGUAAACCCUGCUCAGCAAUAACAAAAACAUCUCUACACUAUCAAGCCAGUGUUCAGCACAAAUCCCAAAUACCAACCACUGUGAAGAAAAAUAACUCUACCCCAUUCAAAACCAGCACACCAAUGCACUGCACUGACUUUUCAACCCUGUCUCUGUAGCAUCUUUUGCAAAAUUACUUACACAGUAGACUGUAGAGACAACUAAAUGAAAGGAUUUCACUCGUUCUCUCAAGCAACAGACAUUAAGCUACCUUCUAUUUCCUAGAGCCCUUGAGAAUAUAUUUUAGUUUAGCUGUGAUAUUAGUUCUGGUUGUAUCACUGAUACAAAAAAGAGUGUGUAAGAUUAGUUUCAUUGCCAGUAUCCUUAUCUGUACAUUUCACUUGACACUGGUGAGAUUUACAGAGACUCUUUGAAAAAUAUUUCUGCCAGUAUUUUCUUUUGCUACAGAACCAUUAUAUACCUUGAAAAAUACUGCUUAGGACACAGGUGCAUUCUUUUGUUUCCAAUUUCCUAACAGCUAAUGUUAGAUCAUGUAUAUUAUGUUUCCAAGACCUAGUUUUAAUCAAGCUUAUUUUCAAAAGUCCCCAUUUUUAUCUGUAUCUGGAUACACAGCCAAGACUGGAUAUUAUCAAGUUUUUGACUUGAAAACCUUCAAGUAAAUGCUAGAAUAUUAACUGAAAAUUCUGAACUGAAAUACCAUUUACCUGACAAUAUCAUUACCACAUGAGUUUCAAGCCAGUCUUGACUACUUUCUACAUGUGUUUUAGGCCUUCAAAUUAUAGCCAGUUCUGUACUUCAAAGAGUGUAUUCAAGGAGAAUAUUUCAAAGACUCCUGUCUUUGAAUUGAUUAUUCAGUGACUGAUGCUAGAAAUAAAAAUUAAACAAGAAAUCCUACUUGAUGUUUGACAUAGAAUUUAGGGGGUUUUCCCUUGCAAUGUAUGUCUCUUUUUUUUUGGGUUAUUUUGUGAUGAUUGAUAAUUUCUUAAUCUCUAAAUACCCAUAUAUAUAUAAUGCAGAUCAAAUGCGUUUCACCUUAUUUAAGGUAUAUCUUAAAGACACUAAAGGGAAAGUAUGACAUCUGACUUCAGAUUAGCAAUCUAUUACUGUAUUGUUUCAGGUUUCAAGAUAAUUACCAUGCACUCUCUGGAAUUUGAACUAGUAACUCAAAGCUUAUUUGCUUAGAUAUUUUUGCUGUGGUGGACUUCUGCUGUGAAGCUUUUAAUGCUGGUAUUUAUAAGUGUGAUGUGACUUUAUUUCCUGAAAUGACAUUAGAAGUAUUUUUGAUUUAUGUGA